CCUGCCAGCUCCUCUGGUCCACAGAUGUCUCAGGACGCAGCCCCGCCCUUUCUCGGUUGCCGAAGUGGGGUUUGCAAACGAUCCGGCACACCAGACUUGUAGCCGACCUUAAGGUGGACUUCCACAGAAGGAACCAAAGAAACCUGCAGGCUCUGUCUAUUCACCCAGGCAUCGCUUUCCUGGUGGUGGAAUGAAACCAGCUUCUUUGUGGGAUGGAGCGAUCACUGGAUGCCAGCAACACUACCCUACAACGUGUAGAGGAGGAAAUGCAGGCUAGCUCAUCCGAAGGAAGCUACAGGGGAAUUUUAGAUCAGCAGAAUGCAAUUAUCCAAGUUGGAAUUGUUCCAGGACACCAAAAGCGAACUUUAAAGGUUUCAAUAGCCACAAACGUCUCUUAGCAUUUCCCUCCCUUAGGAAGACAAUAUCAGACGGCUGGCAUUGAUUUCUUAAAAUUAUACUGGCAAAAAGAUAAACAAAGCUCAAGAUAAAGAAAUACAUUUUACACUAAAAAAAAAAAAAAAAGGAAAAAGAAAGAAAAAAACCACACUGAAACCAAAUCCUCAUAUUUCUUGGCUCACGGUAGCAGGCUGACUAGUUACCCAAAAUGAGCUUACUGCAAAAUCACUCUGUUCUCACCACAGGCACAAUUUACCAACUGGGUGCAACAGACACCGGGCUGGCUCCUGAACUUCUCUCCUCCAAUUAAGCUGCACAACCUGUUACCAUUUUGCCAAUGGACUCUAUUUACUUAGGUUCUGCAUAACUUGCCAAGUGCUCACUCUGUGGAAUUCCCAGCAAAGAGAAAGGAACAAUUGGGGGAAAUUUUUGUUAACAUCCUUUCUUUUAACUUUCCCUAGCAGAGGGGAAUGCAUCAACGUGGAGCAGAUGUGCUGAGACCAAAUGCUCUCUUCCUCAUGAUUACGGUUGGUUAUACCUGUGGAUAGGCGAGCUAAUUCCGCCGCAAAUGUGCAAGAGAGGGUAGUACUAACGUACAAUGUGUGGUCCUGGAGGCUUUGUUCCCACGUAAUAGGGUGCUUCGUUUCACGAGACCUGGCACGUUGAGAAGAAAACUGAAGCAAAACAGCCCUGUGCCGUUGGAAUCAUGAGCUAUCUCCGUGAGGCUUAGAGAGUGCCCAAGUUCUCGGCGAUGUUGACAUAAAUAUCAUGGAAUUUAUUAUUUGGAGUUGGAAAAUAAUGAUUCUUUCUGCUUAAUGUGCUCAGCGACUCUGCACCCGAUUGUUUUCUGCCAUUUGAGAAUGCCCGAGGAUGUCAUUAAAACUACGUGUAUCAAUAUUAAACCUU